UAACACAUGCAAGUCGAGGGGCAGCAUGGUCUUAGCUUGCUAAGGCCGAUGGCGACCGGCGCACGGGUGAGUAACACGUAUCCAACCUGCCGUCUACUCUUGGACAGCCUUCUGAAAGGAAGAUUAAUACAAGAUAGCAUCAUGAGUCCGCAUGUUCACAUGAUUAAAGGUAUUCCGGUAGACGAUGGGGAUGCGUUCCAUUAGAUAGUAGGCGGGGUAACGGCCCACCUAGUCUUCGAUGGAUAGGGGUUCUGAGAGGAAGGUCCCCCACAUUGGAACUGAGACACGGUCCAAACUCCUACGGGAGGCAGCAGUGAGGAAUAUUGGUCAAUGGGCGAGAGCCUGAACCAGCCAAGUAGCGUGAAGGAUGACUGCCCUAUGGGUUGUAAACUUCUUUUAUAAAGGAAUAAAGUCGGGUAUGGAUACCCGUUUGCAUGUACUUUAUGAAUAAGGAUCGGCUAACUCCGUGCCAGCAGCCGCGGUAAUACGGAGGAUCCGAGCGUUAUCCGGAUUUAUUGGGUUUAAAGGGAGCGUAGAUGGAUAUUUAAGUCAGUUGUGAAAGUUUGCGGCUCAACCGUAAAAUUGCAGUUGAUACUGGAUAUCUUGAGUGCAGUUGAGGCAGGCGGAAUUCGUGGUGUAGCGGUGAAAUGCUUAGAUAUCACGAAGAACUCCGAUUGCGAAGGCAGCCUGCUAAGCU
rnacentral:rRNA from 1 species